rnacentral:rRNA from 1 species
GAUGAACGCUGGCGGCGUGCCUAAUACAUGCAAGUCGAGCGAACAGACGAGGAGCUUGCUCCUCUGACGUUAGCGGCGGACGGGUGAGUAACACGUGGAUAACCUACUUAUAAGACUGGGAUAACUUCGGGAAACCGGAGCUAAUACCGGAUAAUAUAUUGAACCGCAUGGUUCAAUAGUGAAAGACGGUUUUGCUGUCACUUAUAGAUGGAUCCGCGCCGCAUUAGCUAGUUGGUAAGGUAACGGCUUACCAAGGCAACGAUGCGUAGCCGACCUGAGAGGGUGAUCGGCCACACUGGAACUGAGACACGGUCCAGACUCCUACGGGAGGCAGCAGUAGGGAAUCUUCCGCAAUGGGCGAAAGCCUGACGGAGCAACGCCGCGUGAGUGAUGAAGGUCUUCGGAUCGUAAAACUCUGUUAUUAGGGAAGAACAAAUGUGUAAGUAACUAUGCACGUCUUGACGGUACCUAAUCAGAAAGCCACGGCUAACUACGUG